GAUCCACCCUCCUUUUUACAUUCACCAUGGCCUGGAUCCUUGCUCUCGUCACAUGUCUCAGUUACUGUUCAGGUAUGUUUGUGGAGACCUAACGUAUUAUUUGACUUGACUUCUGUUACUUUUCACAAGAAGAUAAUAAUUUUCUGAAAUCUGAGGGCGCAGAAAAUGAUGCAUGUACCAGCAAGAAAGCUAUAGUCUUUCCUAAUAUUUGAGAACACUGGAAAUGAUUCAUGUGCUUGUAUUUGAUUUUUCUUUUUGCAAAGGUGUCACAUCGCAGACAACAUUGAUCCAGCCUGCCUCUGAGUCUGUGCUCCCGGGUCAAACUGUCAAACUCUCCUGCUCUAGAAGUAGUGGCAGCUUGCAUGCUUAUAGCUGGCUUCAACAGAAAGGUGGACAGGCUCCUCGUUUUGUGUUCUAUGGUACCAGCACCCGGGGAGACGGGAUCCCAGAUCGGUUCGCUGCCUCCACCUCUGGGAACACUUACUAUUUAACCAUCUCCAAUGUCCAGGCUGAAGACGAGGCGGUUUAUUACUGUGUUGACUGGGUGACAGGCAGUAAUGUGU
rnacentral:lncRNA from 1 species